GAUGAACGCUGGCGGCGUGCCUAAUACAUGCAAGUCGAGCGAACAGACGAGGAGCUUGCUCCUCUGACGUUAGCGGCGGACGGGUGAGUAACACGUGGAUAACCUACCUAUAAGACUGGGAUAACUUCGGGAAACCGGAGCUAAUACCGGAUAAUAUAUUGAACCGCAUGGUUCAAUAGUGAAGGACGGUUUUGCUGUCACUUAUAGAGGGAUCCGCGCCGCAUUAGCUAGUUUGGUAAGGUAACGGCUUACCAAGGCAACGAUGCGUAGCCGACCUGAGAGGGUGAUCGGCCACACUGGAACUGAGACACGGUCCAGACUCCUACGGGAGGCAGCAGUAGGGAAUCUUCCGCAAUGGGCGAAAGCCUGACGGAGCAACGCCGCGUGAGUGAUGAAGGUCUUCGGAUCGUAAAACUCUGUUAUUAGGGAAGAACAAAUGUGUAAGUAACUAUGCACGUCUUGACGGUACCUAAUCAGAAGGCCACGGCUAACUACGUG
rnacentral:rRNA from 1 species